rnacentral:rRNA from 1 species
GUGGGGAAUAUUGGACAAUGGGGGGAACCCUGAUCCAGCCAUGCCGCGUGUGUGAAGAAGGCCUUUUGGUUGUAAAGCACUUUAAGUUGGGAGGAAGGGUAGUAACCUAAUACGUUGCUACUUUGACGUUACCGACAGAAUAAGCACCGGCUAACUUCGUGCCAGCAGCCGCGGUAAUACGAAGGGUGCAAGCGUUAAUCGGAAUUACUGGGCGUAAAGCGCGCGUAGGUGGUUUUGUAAGCUGGAGGUGAAAUCCCCGGGCUCAACCUGGGAACUGCCUCCAAAACUGCAUGACUAGAGUACGGUAGAGGGUAGUGGAAUUUCCUGUGUAGCGGUGAAAUGCGUAGAUAUAGGAAGGAACACCAGUGGCGAAGGCGACUACCUGGACUGAUACUGACACUGAGGUGCGAAAGCGUGGGGAGCAAACAGGAUUAGAAACCCGUGUAGUCC